GCCACAAUGAGAGAUCAUGUCAUAGGCACUUGCCUCCCAAGCCAAAAGCAACCAAUCUGAACAAGAGAAAAAGGAACAAUGAAGAGGCAAGAACAUCUGGAAAUUAGGGUACUAGUAAGAAAAAGCCUCCCUUGACAAAGAAUGAGUUAAAGCAGAAGAAAAAGAGGGAUGAGAAGAAGGCUGCCAUAGCUAGAGCUGCUCCUACAAAUGCAAGAGAUACUCAUUCUGCAAAUGCAAGAGUUGCACCUUCCACAAAUGCAUGAGCUGCUGCUUCAAGCUCUCAAGCUGCUCCUUCAAGCUCCAAAGCAACUGCUACAAAAGGUAAAACUCUUGAAUCAUUUUAGGCUGAGAAAUGUGGAUUAGAUUUUCUAGCAGCAGUUAUAAAUCAGUUUAUAACAAUGAAAACGAAAUCAAUAAGAACUAAUACAUCAGUUCUAAAAGAAAAAAUCGAUUCUCAUUAGCCAGUGGAUAUUGAAAUAUUAUGACAGAAUCGAUGUCCCAAAAUCUAGUGCACAUUGAAUUAUAAUAUAAUGAUCGAAGUUCUAUAUAUGAUUGGACAUCAAUACAAUUUCAAUAAACGAUGUCCUCGGAGUUACUAGACAUCGUUAU